CCUUGUGAUUUGCCUGCCUCAGCCUCCCAAAGUGCUGGGAUAACAGGCGUGAGCCACCACGCCCAGCUUCAAAAGUUUUCAACAGAGCUCAGAGGUCUUAACCACAGGCACAUCCGAGGAGCAUUUUUGAAAUGGUUUCCAGCUUCCUCAAUAGGAAUGGAAGCCAAACCCGGAACUGAUGGCUCCUUGGAGGAAGUCGAGAGCUGUAAGGAAAGCCAGGAACAGGGGCAAGGGAGAGAUGCAUCCCGAAUGAUCCUGUGCCAAUUCUUUCUGGAAUCUUUGAUGUGAUCUCCGCUGCCCUUUCCAUACUUGACACAGUGAUUGUGGCACCCACUGGUCUAGCUGUGGUCUACAAGGAACCCCCAAAGGGAAGGGCACAGUGAGCAGGGGCAUCGGCCUGAGUGACAAGGAUUGGAGGGGGCAGGUUGGAUGCAGGGAGAGGACUGGCCAAAUGCCAUGUGUCUGGCUUAGACUACCUUGUUCAAAUUGGGCUUCACCAUUUUUGACUUCGUGAUCUGGUACAAGUUAUAUGAAAAUGUGUUGCUCCUUUUCUAGUCUGUAAAAUCAUAAGGAAAUGUGCACUAAUAACUGGGAGACUAUGCAGAUGAAAUGAAACAAGCUGCAUAGAACACAGAGCUCAGAGCCUGGCCUUUAGGAAGCCCUCAGUAAGGGUUCAUGAUGCCAUGGUGUCUGUCAUCAUCCUCUUUAUCCUCAUCAUCACCUUCAUCAUCUUUUUGUUGUUCUGAGGGCAUACUUUAGAGGGACUCAUUCCCUGCUCUCAUGGGUGAGAUGUCUAUGAAGAGGACAACCAGUGGGGGAGGGAAGCAAAAUUUUGAAGAAGAUUCCUGAGAGAGAUCCCCCACCACAACCAAGAACAGAAACUCCACAGUCUGCUGAGCUGACAGUUUGCACAUUGGUCUCCUCCCAUCUGCCCACGGCACUCUCCCGUUUGUCCUGAAGAUGAGGAAACAAACAAGGCUCCCGACCGUCCCUCAGCACUCACUGAACGGCCCUUCCCCUCUGCUGGGCCAUGACCACGGAGAACAGGUCCACUGUCCUCCCUGAGUGGUGCACAUGGGAGGCUCAGACUCCGUCCUCAAGGCUGGUAAGAAGACAGGGUGAGACAUGAGCCUCCUGAUACAGGUGACGGGUGUGGAGCCCACAGGACUGCAACCUCACACUGCAGGGCUGGAGGCACAGACUGAGUAUUUCCUAUUCUAUGGCCUGGGGGGCUCAAGGCACAGAGCUCCUCAUUAGCCAGAGUCGCCCAUGUUCCCCAUGCUCUAAGGAUUUCCUCAUCAUCAUGCAAGAAGAAGAAUAGAAAAAAGGAAGAGGAAGAAACAAAAGGAACUUCUCUCUUAGAUUUAAUUCUGACCUACCAGGAAGAACUGGAUUGUUGAAGCAGAAGUACUGGAGUCUCUGGAGCUAAAACCAAGGAUAAGAACAUUAAGAUUAUCCUGCUGGAGAGAGAGGCCAUGCGGAAGAACCCUGGAAAAUGAGACAGCUCACAGAGCAAGAGGCCAUGUGGAGAAGGCCUAGAAGUAAAAUGCCUCAUGGAACAAGAGGCCACAUGCAGAAGGCCUGGAGGAUGAGACGCCCUGUGAAGUGAGAGGCCACGUGGAGAAGGCCUAGAGGAGGAGACACCUUAUGGAGCAAGAGGCCGAAUGGAGAAGCCCCAGAGGGUUAGACACCUUGUGGAGCAAGAGGUCACACGCAGAAGUCCUGGGAGUGAGAUGCCUCACGAAGCGAGAUGCCUCGUGAAGCGAGAUGCCUCGUGGAGUGAGAGGCCAUGUGGAAGAACCCUGGAACUCAGCGGCUGAUAACACAAAGAUCCCAUGGUGUGAGAGAGGCCUUCAUGAACUUCCCGUCCAGCCCAGCUAGAGCCAAAUGGAGCCAUAUGUGUGACCGCAAGUGACAUCUACAAAAGAACGACCCAGUCACCCUGAGAAUUGUUAGAAAUGCAAAGCACUAAGUUUUGGGGUAGUUUGUUACACAGCAAUAGCUAACUGAUACAGAUGGUUUGAAUUACUUGACUUUAAAGUUCCUUCUUACCCUGAAAGUUUAUGGCUUAGUAAAGUGAAUUAAGCACAUUUGACUGAAACAGAGAGAUGGUGUAGGAAAAGAUCAGAAGGUAAGGGCAGGGCAAGGUGAGGAAGGCUUUCCGUGCCACGAUAAGGAAUUUGAGCUUUAACUGGUAGGUUCUGAAGCUGUCCCAGGAGGAAGUGACAUGAGAAGAUAGUUUUUUAGGAAGACCCACACUGCAGCAGCAUGUAGAUCAGACACGUGGGCACACAGAGCAGAUGUGAGAGAGAAGGAGGCAUGGAGACCUGAUUGCUGAGGCAAAAAGAUGCAGCUGACAAUUAUGGAGCAACAAGCUACUGAAUACAGAAUUGAACAUUCAGUCUUCAAGACACAGAUGUAAGCUGCUUUCUCUGUAUCAGCCUUCUCUGUAUCAACUCUUCAUUUUUUCCAACUAUGAUGUUUUUACUUUCAAAAAUCCAUGGGAGAAUACAUGGUAUGUCGUUAAAAGCCUGGGAUUUGAAAUAAGAAAGCCUUAGCUUUAAACCCCUUCUCUCACCUUCUAGCUGUGUAACUCUGGGCAAGUUACUGAACCUUGCUGUAUCGCAGCUUCUUCAUUUGUAAAAUGGAUAUAAUGAUAUUUGUCUCACAGGAGUAAUGCAAAGAUAAAAACGGAUUAUGUCUCAUGCAUUUACUUUUACUAAAUGGCUAAAUGCUCAAGCAACACAAAUACAUGAUUAUUUCUCUUUCACGUAACAGUCCAGGUUGGGAGUGUCAGGUUGAGGGGUGGAUCUUUUUCACAUCUUCUUGAAAGAAUUCGUGGUAAAAGCUGUCUUCAGUUUAUGCCUUCCAAGGUUCUUUUGGCCAUCGCCAUUCCAGAAAGAAGAGGAGAAGAGAGCAUGAAGGAGCCCGCCUAACAUGUUUUAUCUGGCUUCUCAGAAAUGGCACAUGCUUCUACUUGCAUUCCAUUGGCAAGAACACACGGCACACCAGCUGCCCACGGGGAUAGGGAAUCCCAGCUAGAAUUCCAUCCAAUAGAAGACAGAGGGGAGAGAAGAGCAGGGUAUUGGUAUCCACGCAAUUCAUCCAUUUAUUCCUCAAGCAUGUGUUAAGCGUUUGGCGAUGCUUCACGAUGUUGGACUCUGGACAUUCACAGAAGAUGAACACAUCUCACAAAAGGUGAAAAUGUUUAAAUCACCUGGGAUAAAGAACAUUCAGGGUUGAAAGAAUACAUGUUUGGUUAUAAUACUGCUUAUUAAGCAAGUAGAAAAUUAGAGUAAAUAUCAGCCCUUUAAGAAGACAGAUCUUCCAGAGAGCCUUAAAGGCAAGGUGGGCAUUUGAUGGUUUUAUCUGGGAACAUGCACUCCAGGUUCACCGUGAGCAGGUGAGAGACAUGGCUACACCUCUGAAAUGCUGCAAGUUCAUUUUUGAAGGAUUUGUCAUAGUAAAACAGAAAAAGUUCCCUUAUCCCCCUUACAGGGCGUGACAAGGGGAGUGGCUCCCUUCUUCCGCGCCCUGCAGCCUAAACCCCUAGGGAGAGCAUGCAGUCGGGCAGGUAGUAGGGAGCGUGGGCUCCAACCCCACCGCAGCGUCUAGGGUUGAGUGUUUACAGUUUUCGAAGCCCCGGUGAGCGUGUGUUGCAGCGUGCUUUUUCAGCUUAGCCAUCCGCAGGCGGCUUGUAUUAAUCAGCUCAAUUAGACCCUCUGCCUUAUCGCAAGGACAGAGGGCUUUUUGUAUCCUGGGGUUCUUGCCUAGUGUACUGGAAAAAUCUGAUCAUACAUGGGCUUGGAGAAUGAGUGCAAGGUUUUAUUGAGUGGUGGAAGUAGCUCUUAGCAGAUGGAUGGGAAGCCGGAAGAGGGAUGGAGUGGGAAGGGGUCUUCCCCUGGAGUCAGGCCGCUCAGUGGCUGGGCUUGCUUCUGACUGCCCUCUGCCAAAUUUCCCUCAGCGUCUGCGUGGUUCCACCGUCGAUGGCCUGCUAGUGUUUUUCUGCGAGUGUGUUCCUCUCGACGCCCAGCUGCUUGUACAUGUGCCCACUAGGGUCUCUCGGGUUUCUAUGGGCAUGGGAUGGCGGGGGGUUGUGGCGGGCCAGGGUGGUCUUGGAAAAUGCAACUUUUGGGCGUGAAAACAGGAAUGCCUGUCCUCACUUAGGUCCGUGGGCACAGGCCUGAGGGUGGAGCCCUGGCCAGGGACCCCAUCCUUCUCUACCCAGCACCUCCCUGCCCCCUCCCGUAUCAAUAGCAAUGAUGAAGGACUCACGCAGCCAUCUUUUCAGGAGCAUGUGACAGCCUGCAUGACCGGAGCCAAUGGUGAAUGUUUAAAUUCUGGGUCCCGAAGCAAUAUCUUGGGAAGGGCCUUCCUCUGUCCCACAGCUUCUAAAAAUGUUCUGUGCUUAUAGUAUUGGCUCAGUUUUGUGGAUGUGUUUCUGGGAUUAUUCAGUGACCUCAGACAGGCUGCUCCAAGUCUCCCUGGACCACCUGCGUAGUUCAGCCAUAUUCUACAGUGAGCACUUAGAACAGGACAUGCAGGGGCUACACAGGCAUCAAGGCUGGCUGAUUCCACAGAGCAAGAAUGUCAACAAGGAUCCAGCUUAUUUUUGCCUCUUCACCCCACCAUCUUUUAUGUCAGCCUCGUCCUCAGGGAAGUAGGAUGCAACAGUUCCAGCUGGACACGACAAUACUCACAGGAAGACGAAAGAGACUCUUAUUGCUGCUGUAUCGUGGGAACCUUGUCCCCGAUGCCCAUCAGGGUCAACUAUUUACAUGGGAAGGAAAAACAUACCCCGCAACUACAACCUGAUGUCAGUACCAAGAGCAGUAUGCAAACGACUAUUACGGGCGCUCAGAAGCAUCACAAUGGAAGGGAAGUUGCAGCUGCCUAUACCCACACCCACAUCUUGUCUACCUGCCUGCUGCGUCACAGCCUGGCUGCAUUACUGGGCUCACUUCAGUUCCAAGAAAGCUUCCAGAAAUCAUGGCAGGCACACCUGCAGUGAGCAGAUCUGUGUCUACUUGUCCUUUAAGUGGACACCACUUUUCUGUUCAGAGCACAGAUCAAUGUGUCAGACAGAGCUCUUGGAUGACAAUAUUGUCCUGGCAGGGAUCCAGAGCGGCUGGGGAUAGAGAAUAUUAAAUGGGUCUGGUGCAGAACAGUUGAGGUGUGACUGGAUGUGACAGAGGACAGCACCUCUUUGACAAUGACAUUAUGUGAGUUUGGGUGGGCUCUCAGCUCAGGUUUCAGAUGGCCAGGCAUCUGUUGCUGGCCGCCAUUCUGUUGACAUUUUACAUUUUGUGACCAUAAAUUAACUUUGGAAGAAGUUGAUAGACAAGUAGGUCAUUAUUUGGGUGUUCCUGUGUUUCUCAUAACAUUUUAAAUUCAGUCAGGGCAGAAAAUAUAUAUGUCUUUCCUUUAUACCAUUACCCUAAUCCCUGGCACAUGGUGGGUUUCCUCUUGACUUUAGUGGAACGUGCCUGGACCUUAACAAUCCCAACACCCCACCUUCCCCGCAACCCUGUCUUCUUCCCCAUCUCUCCAGCUGGCUUCCUGCCUUGUUUUCUCCUCACAUAGAUUUAACAGAUGCUCUGAGCCCCGCAGUGCACUUCAGUUCUAUUCUCUGCACUCGCCAUGGCACUUGGCACCAUUAACUGCAGCUCUCUCUGCCUUGACAUCUGCACCCCACUCUCCCCUGUGUGUUUUUUCUUUGGGGGUUUCUUAUCAGGCGCCUCUUCUUUAAAUGCUUGUUUUCCUUUGAGCCCUGUCCAAAGCUCUAGGUUCCAUUUUCCACUUUCUACGUUCUAUCUGGUCCUUCAUUCAAAUUUACAGCUCACAUCUCUGCUUUUGCCUCUAGCCCAGAUCUCUCUCUCUCUCUCUCUCUCUCUCUCUCUCUCUGUCUUUCAAACCUUACACAACUUGAGACAUCUUCACUCACAUAUCCUGCAGGUACACCGAACUCAACAUGGUCAAUACAGGAGACAGUCUCUCACCCCAAAAUGGAAUUUCUCUCUUUUUAAAGGAAACCAGCAUUCAUAAGCCAGAAGCCAAUCUGGAUUUUGUCUGGAAACUCAAGUAUAAGACCUAGCACCACUUGCCAAGGACCUCUGCUUUGCUUUGGUAGGCCAAGGGUCUGGCUCUGUUACCCAGGCUGGAUUGCAGUGG
rnacentral:lncRNA from 1 species